UAUAUUGCACUAUGGAGGAAACUCUGAUGCAGCGACGCCGCGUGAACGACGAAGGCCCUCGGGUUGCAAAGUUCUGUCCUUGGGGGCGAUAAUGACGGCACCCAUGGAGCUAGCACCGCCUAACCACGUGCCUGCAGCCGCGGUAAUACGUAGGGGGCGCGCGUUGUCCGGAAUUAUUUGGCGUGAAGGGUUCGCAGGCGGUGUUUUAAGCCAGAUGUUAAAUGCAUAGGCUCGACCUAUGAGUGCAUUUGAAGCUGGAAGACUUGAGUUAAGGAGAGGAAAGUGGAAUUCCUAGUGUAGCGGUGGAAUGCGUAGAUAUUAGGAGGAAGACCAGUGGCGGAGGCGACUUUCUGGACUUUUACUGACGCUGAGGAACGAAAGCAUGGGGAGCAAACA
rnacentral:rRNA from 1 species